rnacentral:lncRNA from 1 species
AGAAAAGUCUCCCAUCUCUGGGGGGAGUCUCUGCGUUAAUUUUCUAUCAAAUUCGUCCUGGUAUUCUGUGUAAGCAUUACUCCAAAUUAAUAAUGCAAAAUAACUACAAAGUCGCAGAAACCCCAAGGAGAACGUUGCAUUUUUUUUUUUAGCUGGAAUGAGCUUAAUUGAUAUUGUUUGAUGCAUCCAUUUGUCCCUGAAUUCUGCUGAACUAUUUCUGGCACAGAUAUAAUCUUUGACCUGGAAGCCCUGUGCUCUGAGCACAGCCUGUGAAGCAACAGGGCCCUGGGGACAACCACACGUGUGUUCGAAGUCCAGCGCUGCAGGGAGUGAAAAGAGCAGCCAGUCACUGAAGAAAGAGUGAAUAACUCUCUCUGCCCGCCUGCUUUAGUGAGGACACGUUUACCAGGUGCCUCAUGAGGGACUCGAGGAAAAUACCAGAGACACCCAACUCAUUUCAUUUUGAAAACUGUGAAGGAAGAUGGUAGCUGUAGGUACCAGGAAUGUGCUGUCAUUGAAAUACAGUCCCAGUGUUUCUCAGCCUGCUCAUCCUGUGCAGUCUGUGAGAACCAGGGCACAGGGGCAAUGUAAAGUUGGAGCUGGAGAUGCCAGGGCCUGCAGCUGCCUUAGCUCAGGGUCAGCCCACAGCACACGGCUGCCUCAGGGCCCCUGGGGGCCCAGGAAGCCCCAGGUGCAAAUGUGUCUGCGUUGCACAGCUCGGACUCUGGACACACAGAGAAGCCUGUGGUCCCACAGCUUUGCAGGUGAACUAUUGGAAAUACUGAGUUUGGACUGCGGUUUAUCCAAGGUUCAUCAAGCCAGGUACGUUUUUACAAAGCAGAUUGAUUUUUACAGAUAAACCACUUCUGGACUAAAAAAGAAAAACAAGAUAAACUGUUGGAGAGCUCUCAGCUGGGUCCUUGCAUGUGGUCUUAUGUGCUGAAAAGAGAGGAUGCCAAAAGAGUUCAGAUCAACAACACAGGGAAUUUGUUUACUAUUCUGUGGACUAACAUCAAGAUGUUUCAAUCAAUCU